CAGCGGCAAAGGAGACGCUGCAAACAUUUCGGAAAUAUCAGUAGAAAAAUUAAAAAAUACACCAAAAAUAUGGGGAAGUACUGGUUUAGAUUUAUCUGAUACAUUCAUUACAGUAUUGGACACAUCAUUAGCAUUGCAGAGAUUCUUUCUUAAAUAAAAAUACUUACCAAUGAAGUAUUAAUAUUGGACAGACUUGUCUGUAAGUACAAUAGAUAUUGCAGAGUUUUCAAAAGUACAGAAUAUACAUAAUUCACAGCUUUGUGUUGAUAUUGCACAAAAAAUCCAAAACAAAACAGAUGUACCAGAACCCCAGGUAGGGCAUGUGGGAAGUUUACAUAUCUGAAGGUUCACACUGAUCAAACCUGUUGAAGAAAAGGUUCAACUCCCCGAUCUUUGUUGUCUCUUUGUGGGUUUCUCGUGGCCAGAGAUGUUUAUUUUCUCUCCAGACCCUGCUGAUGUUCUGCUGCUCCUCCUGUCAGAGUCUUGAUCCUCUUCUUCCUCCCUGACUCUCCACCUCCUCUCUCCCUGAACAACCUCCAGCUUCUAUUUGCUUCCUGAUCCAAAGGCCUCUUCUCCUCAAGAAGAGUCUUUAUGUCCAGAGAGAUCCAAGGUUUAUUGCCGGAGGAACAUUGUACAGUCCUAGUGGGUUCGAUGUUUCCACACAAAUGUUGACGGAGCUGUUAAUGUUCUAAUCCUGACCAUCAGAGAACCUCACAGUCCUUCAGAGCCUCAUCAGAACAUCUCCUCACAGUCUGGCUCACAGCUGGCUGUCUCUGUCUGCAGGUCUGUACAGGCUGGAGGUGGUCGGAUCUUCUCAGGGCAGGAAGAGCUGAUGAGCUGGAGCACUGUUCCCUCUAAGCUGCGCGCGUGCGCACUGCUGACAAGCUCUCCGUGCACAGAAAAUCUGCGCUGCGCACACACACAAAAAAUCCAACCUAAAUUGUAAAUAAAAUUCUGUGCUAUUUUUCAGUGUGAGUCAGUGAGUGACCGGUGACUGGCUGCUGCAGCCAAUGAUGCGAUUCACAUACGUAUUUACCAUAGACUGUAUAUAAUGGUAUUUACGCAGCUAAUCAACGUCAUUGACAGGCGUCCUUAUGUACAGCCAUCGUUGUUGUCAUAGAUAUGAAUGAGUAGAUAGGACACGCCCCUUUGAGCUGCGGCUACAGCGAGGCUAAGCUAGUGGGGGCAAAGUUUCAGUGCAUUCCGUUGAUGUAGACGGCGUAAAAACGGAAACAACAAGUAUGCCGGCUCACUAUGCUGCAUACAGUUACACACUACGUCGUACGAUUGAGACAAGGAAACUUGGAAUGACUUUUCAUAGGUUUCCCAGAGACUAUGGGUUGAGGAGGAAUUGGAAGUUUGUCGGCUUAGACCUGGUGUCAUUCCAUCAGUGUUAAACUUCCCGGCUCAUCUUGGAAGAGUACGUGCCAGAAAGACCACGACCAAGCAGCCUUGAGAUCUUAGGCAGCGUCUCCCUCAGACCAAAGAACUACAGACUCUUCACAACCUGCUCAAACUCUUGGUACAGGACCUCACCACACGGGUCAAGAAGGUUUCUGUCUCAUUUCUACUCUGAAGCUCACCUUCUCCUGCUCAAACUGCUGAUAAAUGUUUCUGCUGCUCUAAAGUCUGGUCUCCAGAACUUCCUAAAAACUCUCAAAGUCUCUUCUGCUGCAGGUUGCUUUGUAGAACUGUUCCAGAAAACCUCACUAAACCACAUGGAGGGGCCUCAAAUAGUCGUCCAAAUGAAACCAUACAAAAACCAAACUAGCACAACCCAAACGCUGAAGUCUCCUGCAGCCUACCAGAGAACCUCUGAGAACAGAGAAUCAGGACAGGAACUCUUACCUUCUGGACAACCAACGUUGGUUCUCAAACCAGAAUACAGAUUGUGUCUGACCAAAAACCUCUAAAGACUCACUACAGCCAAGAUAAAGACACAACUCAGCUGCACCAAAUCCACUAAUCACUGCACACAUUAGCACCAUGUGCUAACUGUGGCUAAAGCACCACAUUUACCAAGACAACUAUCCAGUACAAAGCCCUAAAACACACCAAGAAACACAUUAAAGAUGAUUUUACUGCUGGAAGCUGCAAGCCAAUGCCUAAAGAACAAACGAAAGCAACGGAGCCAAACCCGGUUCACUGGUGAAGAGAAGCAGAGGAAAUGUUUGUCUGCAGCUAAAUAAAGCAGGAAGACACUGAGCUGCUCAGGUGUUCCUGAUAACACCAAGCUGCUCAGGUGUUCCUGAUAACACCAAGCAGCCACCUGGACAGCCAAUAGGAACACAGCUUCCUGGAAGUCCAGAGGGCUGGGUUAGUGAAGGAAAUUUAAUUUAAAGUUGAAGCACAAAGUUAACAAAGAAAGUUGAAAACCACCUUCUGAUACCUGAAAUCUCUGAGUUUUCACACAAAGAACACCUGAACAUGUCAAACUGGUUCCAUAGUAGAACCAGAAUUGUAAAAACAUCAUAGUAUGGUGUGUUGCUCAAAAAACAUUAGGACCCGGCUGUCAGGGGACAAACAUGUAAGAAACAUGAGAACAGAGAGAAUCCAACCAGUAGGUCACAGUUUAUCAUCCCCCAGUCAUCUCCUGAAGUCCAUAUGGUGAGAGACAUCAGUAUCUGGUUGUUAAUUUACCAGAGGAUGCUUAUAAUCAUGCUGAUGUGGUCUGUACAGUAUUUUAGUGACUCAAUAAAUGCCUAAGUUGUUUUUUUAAAAUGCUUUUUAGUUUUUAAUAAACAUUUAACAGCCUAUAUGUAAUCAAUAAAUGGCCUUUGCCUGUAUUAAGAAAAAUUCACUCAGAACUCUGAUGUGU